rnacentral:lncRNA from 1 species
UCAAAGAGAUAGUUUUCUUUCACCUCUUUCAAUAGCUUGAGGAAAGGCAGCCUUUUGGUUGUUUGUCUUAAGGAUAAAGGAUUCCUAUGUAUGUUUAGAGACUAUCAGAAAGGAGUCAGUGGAGGAGGGAGGAAGGUUAAAGCUCUCUCCUGAAGGAGGAAAUGAAAGAUGAUGCAUCAGAGGACUGGAGGAUACGGAGAAAAGUUUGAAACAGCCCUUGUUCAGAGGGCUAUGGAGUCAUUCAGAGAUGAAUUUUAUCUGAACAGAUGCCUCCAACUCAGUAGAAAAGAGAAACCAUCACGCAAGAAGCAGCAGCAUUCAUUGUAGGACAACUUCUUCAAAGACAACAGCUUUAUGUAACAGAACAAAAUGCUCUUUGCAAAAACUAUCUGCAACUAACAAAAUUAAUUGGUUUAUAAAACACUAGCUUUUAUCUCCAACUAAUAAUUCCCAUAUAUCUCUUAAUCUGCCCACAAAUAGUUGACAGGAAAUAAAAUCAGAGUUUAUUAGUUCA